UCUUGGUUAUAGGUGUAGUGGAGGGGAAUAACAAGAGAUGGGGACUGAAUAGGUGUUACCCCAGGAAGCAGGGUGAGGAAAAGGGGACUUGAUUCCAAGACACACCUUCCUUUUGUUCUUCCAGCUAAGGCAGCCUAAUGAAAUCCUUGCUUACCAGAUGCCAGGUCAAGGAGGAUAACAGCCAAGCACCUCUUCAGCCUUCCUCUUUUCAGAGAGGUUGGUCAGAGAGAAAUGAUGUGAAGUGAUGGAGCAACCAGACCACUCCAAGAAGAAGUGAGUCCAGAAGAUCAGCUUUGGCCAACUGCCCCUCCUUUCCAUACUUCUAUAGAAUCUCUCCCUUCCCCCUCUGGGGUCUGUAAGGUUCCAUCAUAUUUCUCUUGAGCUCUUCUUCUUUUGUAUUUCAUCUCUUCUGUCUGUGCCCAUUUCUCUCAAUCACAUAGGUUUAAGGUCAAAAUGCCUGUAAACAAGAUUUGAUACCACCCUAA